rnacentral:rRNA from 1 species
UACGGAGGGAGCUAGCGUUGUUCGGAAUUACUGGGCGUAAAGCGCACGUAGGCGGCUCAGCAAGUCAGGGGUGAAAUCCCGGGGCUCAACCCCGGAACUGCCCUUGAAACUGCUAAGCUAGAAUCCUGGAGAGGCGAGUGGAAUUCCGAGUGUAGAGGUGAAAUUCGUAGAUAUUCGGAAGAACACCAGUGGCGAAGGCGGCUCACUGGCCCGUAACUGACGCUGAGGUGGCGAAAAGCGUGGGGAGCAAACAGG